GCUAGUGCUAGCUAGGGGCUACCUAACAUUGACGUUAGCUAGCGCUUGCUGAUGCUAGCGAUUUCUAGUCUGCGACAUAUUUUGGGCUUCAUUUCAUAAACAUAACCUGUAGU